UUUAACUAUUAUUCUACUAUAUUCUAUAUUCACUAUUAUUUUAGAAUUAGCUAUUUUAAACAUGUGCCAAGUGGUAUGACAUUGUAUUGAUGUAUGUGAAAUGUAUAGAGUCUUUCAGUUAUCAGAUAAUGUCAAGGAGUUGACAGCAUGGUGCCCGAUUUAAAGUGCGAAACUGUGUACGAGUAACAACAGUAUUCAAAACCAAAACCUAUUUAAACCAACCAAACCAAAACUAGCGACCAAAAACUAAUAUCUUGGCAUUGAUUUAUUUUAAACAUCUAUUAUAUAUGCGUGUGUUUUAUAUAAAUGUACUAGCUUGAGUAUAGUGUAUUGAAAAUAUUUUUUUUAACUAUUU